rnacentral:rRNA from 1 species
AUCCAUAUCCACCUUGUGUGCAAUGUCAUCUCACUGGAAGGUCACGGCUGUAAAAAUCCGGCGGCCAACCUUUGGGAUUUAUAUCUACUCAGAACUUUAGUGAUUUUGUCUGAAACAUAUUAUGAAUAACUUAAUUCAAAAUACAACUUUCAACAACGGAUCUCUUGGCUCUCGCAUCGAUGAAGAACGCAGCGAAAUGCGAUACGUAAUGUGAAUUGCAGAAUUCAGUGAAUCAUCGAAUCUUUGAACGCAUAUUGCGCCCAUUAGUAUUCUAGUGGGCAUGCCUGUUCGAGCGUCAUUUAGUCCACUUAAGCCUUUGCUUAGUAUUGGGAAUCUACUUUUCGUGGGAGCUACCCUGUAGCUACCCUGUAGUUCCUCAAAGACAGCGGCGGAGUCGUGGUUUUACUCUGAGCUUAGUAAUUUUUUUCUAGCUUUCGAGUUGCCACUGCCCCCUUGCCGUAAAACACCCUUUAUUUUUUAAUGGUUGACCUCGGAUCAGGUAGGAAUACCCGCUGAACUUAAGCAU